ensembl:lncRNA
GUUUUCUCCAUGGAGCUAAAUAUAACUUUUGAGCAGGGAAUAUGGUGACUCUGCCAGGGGAGGGAUCCCAGGCUGAGCCAGAGGGCCAGGGAUCGGGCAGGCCAGGGAUGGGAGGCUAGGAAUGCUUCUCAGUGGACCUGAUCACAGAUUGAGUUGAGGAGCUGUGGAACCAGCUCUCCAGAAGCGUCUCCAGCACAAACUUAGGAGGAUAUAGAAAGAAAAGAAGGGGACUGGAAUUGGGGAGACAGCAUGCUGACGGAAAGCACAGCUUGACUCAGGGAGGCUGAGAAAGUGGUGAAGGACCGUACCAGAAGAAAGGCUUGUUUGAAACACCCUAUGGCAGAGCCCAAGUGACACUGUUUAAAGCAGCAUGUGGAAUGAUGGCCAAGGCCAGUGCUCUCCUGGAAGUUCAAAGUGUGAGAAUGGGAGGACGGAGCCAGCCAGGAAAACACUCUGCUUCUCCGAGGACUUCAAAGACUGAGAGAAGACGCAGAACUGGAGGAAUGUGUAGACUAUGAAAGAAAUCCUUCCUCCUGAUCCUCUGACUCCGGAUGUUUCCUCAUCCAUUCAUUCGGAAGGUGCAGAGGAGGGAGCCGAGCCCUGGGACCAGACAGACAGCCAUCUGCCACACAGAGGCCUGCUCAUAUGCCCGGAAAGUCAAGAGCCACACAUGCUGCAUUUCUGCUCUACGGGCCUUGAAGUGGAGAAGACGGCUUGUUGCCAUUUUAUUCGGUCCCGUGGCUCCCGUGAAGCUCCAGUCCCACACUCCUCACUUGCCUCUUAAAGGUCCAUCUGUUUCCCCUUUCAACAAAUUGACCUGUGUGGGAAAUAAUACCGAAGACCCUCCUCCAAGCUGUGACAGAUCAUCGAAAAUUGCUAGGAAAAUAGCUGCGUAACAACGACAAUACUACUUUCAGACCCUGAGAUCCCUAAGCGUGCUUUUUACCCCCAGAGUGUUUUCAAAGCAUGUGUCACUGCUUCGGGGCAGGCUUGUACCGUGAGCAUCCUCAUAACUGACACUUCAUCUGCGGCCCAGUUUACUUUUGUAUACGUUUAGUCCUGCAUACAGAUCCUAGCCGUGGCGACUGACUCAAAAUAACUCAUUUGGGGGCACUACAAAGAGAGUCUUUAUCAGCUGUUUUAAUAACAACACAACCCUCAUUAAGCAGCUCCGUUUGGCUGCUUAGAUAUUCCUUCUCAAAUCGUGUCAUACACAUUCUUGGAAACUAUAUUAAAACACUGCCUAUUCUCCCAUCCUCCACCCCCUUCAGUCUUUGUUUAUUGCUUUAGUUCAUUCCUGGAUUUUCUCCCCAAGCUGUGGCUAAGGAGAGCCACGGAUAAGUUCAUUUUUUUGCUUCAAAGUGACAGAAAUGUCUGAUUUCUCUCUGGUUUUGGAAAAACUGAGCAGUCAUAGAAGAUCGAAAGCAGAAAAUCUCGAACCUCUUACAGGGAGCUGCCUCUUGCUCUCCUUCCCUCUCUCCUUCUCUUUCUUCUUCCUGUCCUUUCCUUCCCUCCCUCCGUGUUUCCUAAAUAUCCGUGAUGUGCCCGCCAUUGUUCUAGAUUAGGAACCAGACACACAGGUGAGCGAAGUACAGUGUCCCGCAGUCUUCUGAAUCUCUUCAAGAAGGCAACCAGAGAAAUAAAUAACAUGGCUUUCGUUGGUAUGAAA